UUGGCUCAGUCCUCUAUUCAGGCCCAACUCCUAAGGUCAGCCCCUGACCCCCCUGACAUCUAGGCUGUGGUCUGGCCUCUGAGGGAGAGAGCAGCAUCUGCCGCCCUGGGACUCCUGGCCUCUUUGUUUUUGCCCUCGGACCUGGGCAGGGGGCCUAGCUUGAAUUCUCUCUGCUGGGGGGAUAUCUGUGUCUCCUGGGUACAGGAGACAUUCUCGGAUUUGGGGGUGCCUGCUGUAUCAGAAGUUGAAGUGGAGACAGUCAAAGGAGGGGAGGGGGGCAGUAGGGGGGUCCCGGGAAGACAACGUUCUGGGAUGUCUUAGGGAUAGGCCUGCUUGGGUUUCUGAGCAGCUAGGUACAUAUAUGGGACACCCUCUCCAUAGCCUACCAAGGGACACCCUUCCCAUCUGAUCUUCACGGUGGGGCUCUGCUGGCCCCCACCUGGUCUCCAAUCCUUCCCCUUCCCUAUGUAGCUACAGGCUGGACACCAAGCUUCCUCCAUCCAGACCUUUGUCACGCUCUCCCCUACUGCAGUGCCCUCAGCUGCCUGACCCAUCAAUAUUCACUCCUCAAAGUCUAGCUCCACUGGAUAAGCCACUUCAUGACAGCCAGAAUCCGAUGUUGAACAGCAAGUGAAGACUCCAUAGCAGUGUGCUCCUUCCAACCACAAGGACGUGGCCCGCAGAGCUGGGCCCGAGGGUAUCUGUGGUGCCUGGGGUGGCUGCGCUUCCACGAGGGCCUGGGAGUUGACACCACUCUCCCCAGCACACGCACAGAUACGUUGAAGUUGCCCUCAGUACACGAGCCACAGGAACUGGCACGUGAUAAUCCAGCUCCCAUGCUCGUGGGUGGGAGGGCUCUGAGGUGAGUGGUUUGCACAGUUUCCCAGAGGCUCCCUGUGGGACUGACCUCCAGAUGGCCAAGGUGACCACUUGCUUGUUGACACACUGGCCUCCUCCUUUUCCUUGUCUCACUUCCUCAUUUCCCUUUAGGUUUCCCUAAGAUCAGGCUGUCAUGGUCUGAUUUGUGUCUCCAAAUUCAGAUGUUGAAGACUUAACCUCCCAUGCGAUUGUGUUUGGAGAUAAUUCCUUUAGGGAGUCGAUGAAGGUUAAAUGAGGGCAUAAGUAGGAGCUUAAUCCAAUGGGACUGGGGUCCCUACAAGAAGAGGAAGAUGCCGGAGCUCUCUGCCUCCACACACAGGGAGGAGAGGUCGUAUGAAGACAAAAGAGAAGGUAAUAGCUGUCUACAAACCAAGAAGAGGAGCCUCAGCAGACAAUGAACCCCGUUGGACCUUGGUCUUGGACUUUCCAGCCUCCAGAACUGGGAGACAAUAAAGUUCGGUUGUGUAAGCCCUCCAGUGCAUGGCAUUUUGUUAUGGCAGACCUAGCAGAUUAAUACACCUGCCGAUUAAACUACUUGUUCUC